AUUGCCCUAGUAACGGCGAGUGAAGCGGCAACAGCUCAAAUUUGAAAUCUGGCCCUUUCAGGGUCCGAGUUGUAAUUUGCAGAGGGUGCUUUGGCAUUGGUUGUGGUCUAAGUUCCUUGGAACAGGACGUCACAGAGGGUGAGAAUCCCGUACGUGGCCGCCAACCCUUGCCGUGUAAAGCCCCUUCGACGAGUCGAGUUGUUUGGGAAUGCAGCUCUAAAUGGGAGGUAAAUUUCUUCUAAAGCUAAAUACUGGCCAGAGACCGAUAGCGCACAAGUAGAGUGAUCGAAAGAUGAAAAGCACUUUGGAAAGAGAGUCAAAAAGCACGUGAAAUUGUUGAAAGGGAAGCGCUUGCAGCCAGACUUGCCCGUAGUUGUUCACCCGAGUUUCUACUCGGUGCACUCUUCUGCGGGCAGGCCAGCAUCAGUUCGGGCGGUUGGAUAAAGGCCUGCUAAACGUACCUCUCCUCGGGGAGGACUUAUAGGGUAGGCAACAUACAACCAGCCCGGAUUGAGGUCCGCGCAUCUGCUAGGAUGCUGGCGUAAUGGCUGUAAGCGGCCCGUCUUGAAACACGGACCAAGGAGUCUAACAUCUAUGCGAGUGUUUGGGUGUAAAGCCCGGGCGCGUAAUGAAAGUGAACGGAGGUGGGAACCCUUGGGUGCACCAUCGACCGAUCCUGAAGUCUUCGGAUGGAUUUGAGUAAGAGCAUAGCUGUUGGGACCCGAAAGAUGGUGAACUAUGCCUGAAUAGGGUGAAGCCAGAGGAAACUCUGGUGGAGGCUCGCAGCGGUUCUGACGUGCAAAUCGAUCGUCAAAUUUGGGCAUAGGGGCGAAAGACUAAUCGAACUAUCUAGUAGCUGGUUCCUGCCGAU
rnacentral:rRNA from 1 species